UACAGAGGGGGCAAGCGUUGUUCGGAAUUACUGGGCGUAAAGGGCGCGUAGGCGGCCUUCUAAGUCGAACGUGAAAUCCCCGGGCUCAACCCGGGAACUGCGUCCGAGACUGGAGGGCUCGAAUCCGGGAGAGGGAUGUGGAAUUCCAGGUGUAGCGGUGAAAUGCGUAGAUAUCUGGAGGAACAUCGGUGGCGAAGGCGGCAUCCUGGAACGGUAUUGACGCUGAGGCGCGAAAGCCAGGGGAGCAAACGGG
rnacentral:rRNA from 1 species